UACGUAGGUGGCAAGCGUUAUCCGGAUUUACUAGGUGUAAAGGGCGUGUAGGCGGGAAAGCAAGUCAGAUGUGAAAACCAUGGGCUCAACCUGUGGCCUGCAUUUGAAACUGUUUUUCUUGAGUACUGGAGAGGCAGACGGAAUUCCUAGUGUAGCGGUGAAAUGCGUAGAUAUUAGGAGGAACACCAGUGGCGAAGGCGGUCUGCUGGACAGCAACUGACGCUGAGGCGCGAAAGCGUGGGGAGCAAACAGG
rnacentral:rRNA from 1 species